rnacentral:rRNA from 2 species
UACGUAGGGGGCAAGCGUUGUCCGGAAUUAUUGGGCGUAAAGCGCGCGCAGGCGGUUCUUUAAGUCUGGUGUAUAAGCCCGUGGCUCAACCACGGGACGCACUGGAAACUGGGGGGCUGGAGUGCAGGAGAGGAAAGUGGAAUUCCACGUGUAGCGGUGAAAUGCGUAGAGAUGUGGAGGAACACCAGUGGCGAAGGCGACUUUCUGGCCUGUAACUGACGCUGAGGCGCGAAAGCGUGGGGAGCAAACAGG